UACGUAGGGCGCAAGCGUUGUCCGGAAUUAUUGGGCGUAAAGAGCUCGUAGGCGGUCUGUUGCGUCCGCUGUGAAAACCCAGGGCUUAACCCUGGGCUUGCAGUGGAUACGGGCAGACUAGAGGCAGGUAGGGGAGAAUGGAAUUCCCGGUGUAGCGGUGAAAUGCGUAGAUAUCGGGAGGAACAUCCGUGGCGAAGGCGGCCACCUGGACCAGCACUGACACUGAGGCACGAAAGCGUGGGGAGCAAACAGGG
rnacentral:rRNA from 1 species